AUACUUAACUGACAGGGGAGAUACCAUGAUCACGAAGGUGGUUUUCCCAGGGCGAGGCUUAUCCAUUGCACUCCAGAUAUGCUGACCCCUAUGAUUUCCCGUUUUCUAUAUUAAAUUUUUUUUAAAAAAAAGAUCAGCUAAUUAAUAACCUUAAUUUCUU